UGAAUUUGUUUAUUAUUUUCCUUAAACACGUGUAACUGUCAUUGGCUUCUUCACGUCGCCUCUUUCCACGUUACCUUUCAUCUUUACCAAAUCGAUUAAACGUCUCCAUUCUUCUUGAACCCUAAAUCGAUAAUCAGAAAUCGAUCGCAUGACAACAACUGCGCUCAAACCUGGCACCCAUCUCCUCCUUAGCAAGCCCUAAGUUCUCCUUCUAUUUGACCACCAGAUCUCCUCAGCGUGUCAUCCUUAAAGUCGGGUUUGCCGAGCCUCGAUUUUGCCUUCAUACAAUGGGCAGAAGUUGGAUUGUUGAUGGUAGAGCUAUUGCAUGAAAGGUUGAAACCUGUAGUCUGCCUUUGGUAAAUAAAGUCAAAGACUGGAGCAAUUCAGGAUUGACCAUGAUGCCAUUUCAGGAUUGAUAGUAGUGAUGUAUCAGUAGAGUAGUGGUCUGGGCUUCCCAUUGGUGUGAAAUUUGAACCCACUGAUUUGAUCUUGAGCUCUUAGAACAUUCGACAGCCAAAUGUGGUGUGGGGAAUCAAAAACCACACCAAUUAAUUGAUGAGUUCAUCCCUACACUUGAUGUAGAUGAAGGAAUAUGUUCCAAACAUCCUGAAAAUCUUCCUGGAUAGUGACGUUGAGAAAAUAUUAUAUGGACUCAGCUAUAUAGGAGCAACUAAUGCAUCAUUGUUGGGGGUGAGAUGGACAAACUUGCAAUUGAAGAACCAGGUUUAAAGAACCGUGGUGUUCCUCAAAAAGUUUCUUACAAGGAUUUACCAUCUCAAAAACAGGUUUUAGUUUAAUUUUAAGUUCAAAUUAGAUCAUUUUAUAUUAAUAUGUUAGAUAGUAACAUAAAGUUUUGGUAAAUAUUAGGAUUACGGAUUUGAGAGUUAUACAGUUUAAUAAAUACAUAUCGGGUAUUAAUGUGUUUUCCUAAUAUCUUGAUUUGCCACUGUAUGUUGUCAACUUGUCAUUUGUUUUAGACUCCCACA
rnacentral:lncRNA from 1 species